AAAACUGGAAUUGAAUGGCAGGAUUGCGGUAGAAUUUCAAACGACAAAAAAACAAAAAGAUUUUUGCCAGUCAACAAUAAAAGAACGUCAAAAUUUUGGGAAUUGGAAGAGAGAGAAAAAUAAUAAAAAAAUAAAAUAAACACAAAAUUAACAAAUCAGAAUUCCAACUCCACCGAAACUCUCUCAUGCAACUGAGCAAAAAUAAC
rnacentral:lncRNA from 1 species